rnacentral:rRNA from 1 species
AGUGAACGCUGGCGGUAGGCCUAACACAUGCAAGUCGAACGGCAGCACAGUAAGAGCUUGCUCUUACGGGUGGCGAGUGGCGGACGGGUGAGGAAUACAUCGGAAUCUACUUUUUCGUGGGGGAUAACGUAGGGAAACUUACGCUAAUACCGCAUACGACCUACGGGUGAAAGCAGGGGAUCUUCGGACCUUGCGCGAUUGAAUGAGCCGAUGUCGGAUUAGCUAGUUGGCGGGGUAAAGGCCCACCAAGGCGACGGUCCGUAGCUGGUCUGAGAGGAUGAUCAGCCACACUAGAACUGAGACACGGUCCAGACUCCUACGGGAGGCAGCAGUGGGGAAUAUUGGACAAUGGGCGCAAGCCUGAUCCAGCCAUACCGCGUGGGUGAAGAAGACCUUCGGGUUGUAAAGCCCUUUUGUUAGGAAAGAAAAGCAGCAGGUUAAUACCCCGCUGUUCUGACGGUACCCAAAGAAUAAGCACCGGCUAACUUCGUG